rnacentral:rRNA from 1 species
AGAGUUCGAUUCUGGCUCAGGACGAACGCUGGCGGCGCGCCUAACACAUGCAAGUCGAACGGAGCUGAGAGGAGCUUGCUUUUCUUAGCUUAGUGGCGAACGGGUGAGUAACGCGUGAGUAACCUGCCCUGGAGUGGGGGACAACAGUUGGAAACGACUGCUAAUACCGCAUAAGCCCACGAUCCGGCAUCGGAUUGAGGGAAAAGGAUUUAUUCGCUUCAGGAUGGACUCGCGUCCAAUUAGCUAGUUGGUGAGGUAACGGCCCACCAAGGCGACGAUUGGUAGCCGGACUGAGAGGUUGAACGGCCACAUUGGGACUGAGACACGGCCCAG